rnacentral:rRNA from 1 species
ACAACAGUUGGAAACGACUGCUAAUACCGCAUAAGCCCACGGUGCCGCAUGACACUGAGGGAAAAGGAUUUAUUCGCUUUAGGAUGGACUCGCGUCCAAUUAGCUAGUUGGUGAGGUAACGGCCCACCAAGGCGACGAUUGGUAGCCGGACUGAGAGGUUGAACGGCCACAUUGGGACUGAGACACGGCCCAGACUCCUACGGGAGGCAGCAGUGGGGGAUAUUGCACAAUGGGGGAAACCCUGAUGCAGCGACGCCGCGUGGAGGAAGAAGGUUUUCGGAUUGUAAACUCCUGUCGUUAGGGACGAUAAUGACGGUACCUAACAAGAAAGCACCGGCUAACUACGUGCCAGCAGCCGCGGUAAAACGUAGGGUGCAAGCGUUGUCCGGAAUUACUGGGUGUAAAGGGAGCGCAGGCGGGAAGACAAGUUGGAAGUGAAAACCAUGGGCUCAACCCAUGAAUUGCUUUCAAAACUGUUUUUCUUGAGUAGUGCAGAGGUAGAUGGAAUUCCCGGUGUAGCGGUGGAAUGCGUAGAUAUCGGGAGGAACACCAGUGGCGAAGGCGGUCUACUGGGCACCAACUGACGCUGAGGCUCGAAAGCAUGGGUAGCAAACAGGAUUAGAUACCCUGGUAGUCCAUGCCGU